GGGGAAUAUUGGACAAUGGGCGAAAGCCUGAUCCAGCCAUGCCGCGUGUGUGAAGAAGGUCUUCGGAUUGUAAAGCACUUUAAGUUGGGAGGAAGGGUUUCUGGCUAAUAUCCAGGAAUUUUGACGUUACCGACAGAAUAAGCACCGGCUAACUUCGUGCCAGCAGCCGCGGUAAUACGAAGGGUGCAAGCGUUAAUCGGAAUCACUGGGCGUAAAGAGCACGUAGGCGGCCUUGCAAGUCAGAUGUGAAAUCCAACGGCUUAACCGUUGAACUGCAUUUGAAACUGCAAGGCUAGAGUAUGGGAGAGGUAGGUGGAAUUCUCGGUGUAGGGGUAAAAUCCGUAGAGAUCGAGAGGAAUACUCAUUGCGAAGGCGACCUGCUGGAACAUUACUGACGCUGAGGUGCGAAAGCGUGGGGAGCAAACA
rnacentral:rRNA from 1 species